rnacentral:rRNA from 1 species
GACGAACGCUGGCGGCGUGCUUAACACAUGCAAGUGGAGCGACGAACCAGGGCUUGCCCUGGGGCAGAGCCGCGAACGGGUGAGUAACACGUGGGUAACGUGCCCCGAUGACUGGGACAACCCGGGGAAACCCGGGCUAAUACCGGAUGUGCCCCCUCACAUCAGUGAGGUGUGUAAAGGAAGCUUCGGCCUCCGCAUCGGGAUCGGCCCGCGGCCCAUUAGCUUGUUGGUGAGGUAACGGCUCACCAAGGCUGCGAUGGGCAGCUGGUCUGAGAGGACGAUCAGCCACACUGGGACUGAGACACGGCCCAGACUCCUACGGGAGGCAGCAGCGGGGAAUCUUGCGCAAUGCGCGAAAGCGUGACGCAGCAACGCCGCGUGGGAGAAGACGGCCUUCGGGUUGUAAACCCCUUUCAGUUGGGACGAAGGUCGGGCGGUUAACAGCCGUUCCGGCUGACGGUACCUGCACAAGAAGCCCCGGCUAACUACGUG